UCCUCCUCUCUGGCGACGACACCAAUAGGGAGAGUCUCCUCUCUCUUGGGAAGUUCGGCUUCAGGUGAUGUGCAGGGGAAGAUGAAAACAAAGGGCACUGCACGUGUUUGUUGAAGCCUAAAAAAGGCUCGAGAUGCACUGCAGUCUGGUGCGCGUGCGCGUGCAGUGCGCAAGUGCACAGGAAGCCGCCCCAUAUACAGACCGAUGUAAAAAGAUUUUUUUUAUUAAAUGUCAUUUUUUGUUCAAAUGCAGUUCUGCUGGCUGCUAGUGCUGAUUUUGUGUGUAUGUAUGCGUGUGGCUGUAAAACAACGAAUGGAUGUAUGUGUGUAUGACCAUCAUCGGCGGCCAUGAAACAAAAUGCACAAAA